rnacentral:rRNA from 1 species
UACGAAGGGUGCAAGCGUUACUCGGAAUUACUGGGCGUAAAGCGUGCGUAAGGUGGUUUGGUUAAGUCUGUUGUGAAAGCCCCGGGCUCAACCUGGGAUGGCAAUGGAUACUGGCAGGCUAGAGUGCGGUAGAGGGUAGUGGAAUUCCCGGUGUAGCGGUGAAAUGCGUAGAGAUCGGGAGGAACACCAGUGGCGAAGGCGGCUACCUGGACCAGCACUGACACUGGAGGCACGAAAGCGUGGGGAGCAAACAGG